UUUUUACCUUGUGAACUUAUUAUAAGGAACUAGGCAAAAUAGAUUUCCGCCUGUUUAUCAAAAACAUGUCCUCUUGUUUAUAUUUUGAGGUCUGGCCUGCUCACUGAGCGUAUUUUAAAGAGCCGCGGUAUUUUGACCGUGCAAAGGUAGCAUAAUCAUUAGUCUCUUUAUUAGUGGCUGGAAUGAAUGGCUUGAUGAGAAAUCAACUGUCUCUUAAUAAAUUUUUGAAUUUAACUUUUGAGUCAAAAGGCUUAAAUUCUUCUUUAGGACGAGAAGACCCUAUAGAGCUUGACAUUUUACUUUUAUAUAGUUUUUUGUUUGUCUUUCUAUAUUUAAUGAUGAUGUUUUGUUGGGGUGACAUGAAGAAUAGAUAAACUCUUCAUUAUUAUAUCAUUUAUUUAUGUUUGUUAUUUUGAUCCAUAAUUUAUGAUCAUAAGAUUAAGUUACCUUAGGGAUAACAGCGUAAUUGUUUUUGAGAGCUCAUAUCGACAAAGCAGAUUGCGACCUCGAUGUUGGAUUAAGAAAAAUUUUGGGUGCAGGAGCCCAAUGAUUAGGUCAGUUCGACCUUUAAAUUCUUACAUGAUCUGAGUUCAGACCGGCGUGAGCCAGGUCGGUUUCUAUCCUAAGAUUGUUAAUCCAUAUUAGUACGAAAGGACCAUAUGGUUAAAAUAUUUUUUGUUAUAUUGAUUAAUAUUAAUUUAUUUA